CAAAGAAGGAGGUGGUCUCAGCACAAAGCCAUGCAUCACACUCCCUAGCCAUCACCAUGGUAACAGCAAGUCCCCAUGAAACUGGGAAGAAGCUGGUACCCCUGCCAUUUUCUGCCUCACAAUCUGCAUGGCGGUAUCCAGGUCAGAGGAGAAACUGAUUCCUUCCCAGGCUUCUCCACGGCAGUGAUUUUGGAAAAGAAGCUCCCUGAGGAGAGCCAGCCAGAUCACGGCGCAGAAUCACGUUUUCAGAGUGUCUGAAAGAACACUUCUAAAAAGAGAGCCACAGAAGGCCCUAUAAGCAGAUGAUGUGGCAACCGUGUGCCUCACAGUUCGAAAUCUUGUGACCAGGCCCUCUCUGCGAAGGACCCUAAGGACGCAGACAACAUACAGAGAUGGGCGUCCGCUGGCCCCUUUUCAAGGAAGGGCCCCCUUCCUCACUUAACGUCAGUGAUGACCAACACCUGUCCUGGACCAGUGGUUCUCAACCUUGACAGGACCUUCAAAUCACCUGCACAGCAGUAUUUUUAAAAACUCCCCAGGUGAUCCCAUGUGUGGCUGAGGUUGGCUGUCACUGCUCUACGGGUUAGAAAUGGUUCCAUCAAUUCCUGAUUCACAGCUGAUGGGGCGGAGCUUGGGGGCCAACCCUCAUUUGUCAGACACCCCCUUUAAUCACCCACGCCUCUUGCAAAAGCUCCACUCAUGGUGAGAAUAUUUAUGAAUAUCAGUUGUUAUGUGGGAAAACUACAAUGUGGCAGAUCUUUUUAUUAUAUUCUAUUAUAGAGAAU